rnacentral:rRNA from 1 species
GAUGAACGCUGGCGGCGUGCCUAAUACAUGCAAGUCGAGCGAACGGACGAGAAUCUUGCUUCUCUGAUGUUAGCGGCGGACGGGUGAUUAACACGUGGAUAACCUACCUAUAAGACUGGGAUAACUUCGGGAAACCUGAUCUAAUACCGGAUGAUAUUUUGAACCGCAUGGUUCAAAAGUGAAAGACGGUCUUGCUGUCACUUAUAGAUGGAUCCGCGCUGCAUUAGCUAGUUGGUAAGGUAACGGCUUACCAAGGCAACGAUGCAUAGCCGACCUGAGAGGGUGAUCGGCCACACUGGAACUGAGACACGGCCCAGACUCCUACGGGAGGCAGCAGUAGGGAAUCUUGCGCAAUGGGCGAAAGCCUGACGGAGCAACGCCGCGUGAGUGAUGAAGGUCUUCGGAUCGUAAACCGCUGUUGUUAGGGAAGAAAAUCUGUGUACGUAUAUGUGCAGGUCUUGACGGUACCGAAUGAGAAAGCAACGGCUAACUACGUG